UGCCACAAUACGUUUGGUCGUCCUUGGUCGUUCGUCGUCCCGCAAACCGUGCCUCGCGAAAAAACCGCUUCGUCAAAACCAUCGCUUCUCUCAACCCACCCACGACCGCACAUCGGCCGCCGUCCAUCUCCCUGUCUCCCAUCUGCACGCCACGCCCGACCCAACCGCCAACGUUGCCACACCGCCGCUCGAGCCCUACGACGCCGCCACACCGUCUACCAUGAGUGGCUGGCUUGUUCCCGCCUGGCGACCUGCCGCCCGAGGACCACUCCGUCGCCUCGACGCCGCCGCCCGCCGCCCGCCCGCAGCCUCUCCGAUUGGAUUCCUCCGCAGAAUCACCCCCACACCCGAGGUGAUGCUGAAACAAAGAUUGCCUUGCUCGUAGCAGAUGGCGAGGACCCAGGGAGGAAGGAAACCAUGUUGUUCCCGCAUGGCGCCGGUAAUUUGGGUGGCGUGCAGGAUGCAGCUUCCCCUGACGCUACUAGGAAUUGUUGGAACAAGCUAGCUUUCCUAGGCAAACAUCGAUGGUCCAAGUACAAUUUAUGCCAAUCAGUGGUUCAUGUGACAUUAGCUAAACUCUAUUUUGAUGUUACUUUUGGUACCACUCCGAUUGCUCAUGUUGUCAAGGCUAUUUAGUAUUUAAUGUUCUGAAUUUGUCUCUUCUCUCAUUUGUCCUUACACCUACAUAAUUCAGUUUUCUUGUUCAGUGUUCGCCUCAUUUGAAAACGUAUGCUUGCAAUAUCUGGCCAAUAGAUGGUUCUCUAUGCAAUUUGAUUUGAUAUGAUAUGAUAUAUGAUGCUGCAGUGCGCCUCAUACGCUCGUCAUCAAGAAUAUCCCCAUUUGGUAUAGUAAUUUGGUGUUGUUCAAACAAGAAAGUUUAAGACGCCCAAGACUGAAGGUGAUGGUUUUUGCAGAUCAAGUGGUGGCCACUUUGUGGAGGGAUGUGGUUCAGUCCAUGGAAGACGUGAGGAUGUGAGUCUUGCUGUGACUACAUGCACUGCAUCAGUAUGCUUCUGUAACUAAAGUUGCCGCUAUAUUUUUUAGUCUUUUCACUGGUCAUUUUGGGCUUGUGUUUUUAGUGGGACACAAACGAUGAUUUCAAUGGGGUGAUGUAUUGCAAUUGAUUCUCCUUUCCAUAGAAAAUUUUCCGAGGUAGAUCGGGACAGAAUUGUUCAUGCCGUAUUUCUCCUCGAGUCGGCAUUUUGCGUGCUAUUGGCAACUAUUGCGGGCGUGCAUCCUACCCAGUAGUUUUCAUGUGGUAUGGGAAUACAAAACCUAGAAAGACAUUAUUUUUUUGGUACAAUUGUUUGGUGAAGAAAUAUGUCCUUUAUAUACUCACCCAAUUUUGGCUGGCGAUGGUAAGCUUGUAUUCCAGGAAGCGGCAAAGCGAAGCUAAUCAUGUUGGUUCACUGACCUUGACUUUUGGUACUAAUGUGAAUUGAUCACUCCCAAUGCAUCAGAUCUCUUGUUUUACAGCCAGAUUGUGCUGCAUUUUUUCAUUCCCUUUGAAGAACUCUCAUUUAUAUCUUUACUUAAUUGCUAGAAAAAUACCAUAUUGAUCUUGAACCACUUAUUUCCCUUUUCCUAACAUUUUUAAGUCUACAACUUUGUUCUGGCAGUUUGCUUGGUUAAAAAUUGACAAGGUUUUGUCUCUGCAUUUAUAUCUUUACUUAUUUUUGCAGUUUUCACUCUGGCAUUUUUAGAAGUUACUUUUUAUUUAGCUUAUAUGCAUGAAUUUAUAUGACCUCGCUUCAUUUCAUAUUCUAGCUAUAGUAUAAUCCAUAGACUAAAUAUGAGAACGUGCUUUAGAAUAGGUUAGUACUUUAUUUGGAACGUAUGGAGUACUUAUUAUUGAAUGCUGAUGCUGAAUUCUAAAUAUGGUUGACCUAUAGGAUUAUCUGAUCCAUAUAUCUUGCCUGCACCUUUUGUUACGUAUGAGAAUGAGAUGCAAAUUAUCCCUUAGAACUAUUGUAUUGUGUCAUCUUUCUUCAGAAUUAUCUAAACAUAUGUAUCCAUUUGAUUCUAUAAGGUUUCCUCUAAAUCAUCGCUUAUGCAUUCAUAUCAAAGGAAUUAUGCAUGAUGAAGUUAUUUUGCUUUGCAGGAUCAACCACCUAUUUAUUCACAACUUGAAGUGUCAACUAUACAUAUAGAGUUAGUGUUCGCUGCUGGUAGUUAAAUUUCAAGUUGUUUCUUGAUACGGCCUACAAAUAUAAAACAUAACAUCUUUCGAGUCAUAGAGGCUACAUUUGGCCUCAUUACUUCUAAUUAUCCUCAUUGAUACCAACUUGAACAUGAGAUAGAAUUCCACGAUUAGUAUUCUGUGGCAUUGUUCUUUUGUUAGGGCAUAUGCUGCAUUGAUCUCUGCUUGUACUUCUGUGCCACAAGAUAUUUCUGGGAUCCAACUAUACUUGAUAUUGGUACACAUCCAACUGGUAAUGGUUAUCAUUAGGACAGAAAAAAGCAUAGCCCAGCUUCCCUUGAUUUUUUUCAGCAUAAGGUACUUCUUUAUAGAUGAAAGGACAAAUCCACAUCCCUAGGAUAAUUUUAUAAAUUAAACUUGAGUUAAAAGAAUUACUUUGGACAGGAAAAUAUAUCAAAAAACCAACUUUGUACUGAAGAAUGUUCAAUACAUUGUCUACCCAAGCAAUUAUAUGAAUACUCAUGUGUACAUUUUUGUCAGCCCCAUUUCUUUAUUUUCCUAGGCAUAUGUUACGCAUUUACUUGCAUUAUCCUACUACUGCGGUCUUAGGAUCACAUUUAUAUCUUGUAAGCUCUGUCUGAAGAGUAUGAAAUAUCAAAUAUUCAUGUGACAAUUAAUUAGAUUAGAGAAUUACACCAUUUCAUACAAAACAAAAAGGAGAAGGAUAUUGUCUCUAUGUUUAUGUAUCCUAGGGAUCUUAUUUUUUUCACAAGUUCAAUGUUGUAAAUCCAGGGAGUGAAUAAUCAAGAAAAAAUGUCUGUAUGUACAAUCCAAUCAAUGGUUAUUUGUUCCUAUAGUUUACUGUUAAAAAGCAUUGGACUACAAAUAUCCAUUGUAUAAAAGUCUUAAAUUAGCAUGGAAAGAUGGCUAACAAAUUUCACUCAAACUUUAGUUUAACCAGAAAGCCUGCAUUGAUACUGCCAAAACUGUAAAUGUCUGCAGACUGUCCUUCCAGUCAUAAUUGGGCUCUUGGCAUUUCAAUUUAACAAUUUAUGAGCUAAUAAAGAGGAUUAGUAUCCUUUAGGAUCUUCUUUGGAGGGUUGUCUGUUUGUAGCUUGUUAGACAUACAAUAUCUUUCCUAUCGAUUUGUACAAGAUGUAGAAUCAUAUAGCUAUAUUGAAAAUGUGCUAUGCCACUGACUUGGUAUUUACAGGAGUAUAUGGACUAAAGUUGUCGUAAAACAACCCCUGCUCAUCCUCCAUCUUUGCCCUGGAUUCGUCUAUUUGAUUUGUGACCUUGCCAUCUUCUUCCUGCAGGCUCUCAUGUAGUACCAAGGGGCAGCUGCACGACAAAGAGUUGGGAGCAGGGACGCGAGCUGGUGCAUGAGAGGCGGAAGUUCAGACGGUUCAUUCAGAGCAUAUACGACUUCUGUAUCUUUUCUAAAGAAGAACUUCAGGAGGACCUGAGGCAUAUUCCUGUUUGGGGAAGAGGCUUAUAUUGGAGACAAUGCUUGCUCAACAUACGUACUUUACCGGUUCUUCUUUGGAUAUGGAUGUUCUAGAAAACUAAUUCACCGACACUUUUUUGAUGAACAAAAAAGUAUUGUUAUGUUCGUAUAUUAUUCCAGAACCAUGAAAUAUUGUAGGAACUAACUCAAGGGCCAUGGUAGUUUGUUGAUAGUUUACUUCAUCUUUGUUGUGCGAUUUUGUACAUUUUGUCUAUUCAGUUCACAUGUUAGAUAAUUUGGAAAUGCAACUUUGGCAAUCUGUACCACAUGUUAGGUAAUAGAUCGAUCAUUAAUAUUAUUUAUUCCCCUCUCACAUUAUUCAUUUAUAAAUCAUAUUUUCAAACACAUUUCAAUCCAUCACAUAAUUAAGCAAUGUGUUGUUUCUUUAAUAUACUGUAACAAAGAGUUUUACUAUCACUCUUUGGGCAAUAAAACUGUAAAAAUGGUUCUGUGAACCAAUUAGAAACAUUAUUUGAAAAUAAUUUAAAUACUUAUUUGUUUCCAAAUAUUACAUGGGUUGAUUAUUUAUUUAUCCCCCAAUUUGUUCUUGUGUUCAUUUAUUAUUCACCAAUGAAUUCAAUGUAUUAUUUAUUAUAUACCAUUCAUUUACUGGUAACUUCAUAAUUUCUAUUGUAGAUCUUACUCCCUCUUUGACACAGAAAAAUAUCCCUUUGCCUCCGUUUGCUUGGGCGUAUUUGGUGGUUCUGUUGGAGAUCACCCUAUGGACAAUUUGACUUCGCUCUAUCUCAAUGCACCCUAUUAUUCAGUCCAGCUUGUCUUCCACUGGUUCUAACUUGGGAACCGCCGCACCUGAAAUGAUGUCUACAUGUUUUUGAUAGGUUAAUUUUUUGUGUGUGGUGUGUGUUAUGAUAAGAAACUAUUCCAUCACCUCGAUCUUUAUGUGUCUUUGGAUGGUCAUUAACCAAUGAUCCACGAUUUGGUAUGUGUGUGAGUUGUCUUUUCAUGUAUCUGAAUAAUAAUUUAUUGUAAUUUUUUUUAUCUAAAUGUCUAUGAAUGAUCUAUGCAUAUCACUACAUCUUUGUGUAAAGUUGGAACAAUAUAAUUUAUUUUCUGGCUUU